rnacentral:rRNA from 1 species
UACGAGGGGGGCAAGCGUUGUUCGGAUUUAUUGGGCGUAAAGGGUGCGUAGGCGGUUUGGCAAGUCUUAUGUGAAAUCUUCGGGCUCAACCCGAAGCCUGCAUAAGAAACUGCCGGGCUUGAGUAUGGGAGAGGUGAGUGGAAUUUCCGGUGUAGCGGUGAAAUGCGUAGAUAUCGGAAGGAACACCUGUGGCGAAAGCGGCUCACUGGACCAUAACUGACGCUGAGGCACGAAAGCUAGGGGAGCAAACAGG